GCCAAAUAUCUAGCUUUCUUCCAAUCAUACUAAUUUUCUAUACUCAAUAUGCAAUAAAACAUUUUGUUAUUUUAGUAAAGGCGAUUAAAAAAAUUCUUAAAGCUUUAAAUUUAGUACCGUAAGGGAAUGAUGAAAUAUUAGUGAAACAACAUAAAGCACAAGAUAGUAGAAGUUAAAACUCGUACCUUUUGCAUCAUGGUCUAGCCAGUCCUAAUCAAGCAAAAAGAGGUUUUAGUUUGAUUCCCCGAAACUAGGUGAGCUACUUCAAAAUCGCCUUUAGGGCUAACCCGUCUCUGUAGCAAAAGAGUGGGAAAAUUUUCAAGUAGAAGUGAUAGACCUAACGAACCUAGAGAUAGCUGGUUAUUCAAGAAAAGAAUUUUAGUUCACCCUUAAGUCUCUUCAUGAUUAUCAACAUCCCCGCAGGCUUAAGAGUUAUUCAAAUAAGGCACAGCUUAUUUGAAACAGGAUACAACCUAGACACUAGGGUAAACCACUAAGAUCUAAUUAAGUUGGCCUAAAAGCAGCCACCUUUAAAAAAGCGUUAAAGCUUUAUUUUUUCUCCUAAAAAUUUAUUUAAUAAUUAUGAACCCAUCAUUACUAUUGAAUAAUUUCAUAAAUUAUGAAAGUUACCAUGCUAGAACUAGUAACAAGAAAAUGUAUUUCUCCAAAUUGUAAGCUUGAACCAAAAUGGACUCUCCACUGGUACUCAACGAUAAUGACCCCAAUAUUUUAACCACUCAAGAAAACUGAAUAACUUAUAUCGUUAACCUUACACUAGAACACUUCUGGAAAGAUUAAAAGGAAGAGAAGGAACUCGGCAAUAUUUAGUCCCGCCUGUUUACCAAAAACAUCGCCUCUUGCACACUAUAAGAGGUCCCGCCUGCCCAGUGAUUAAUUUAACGGCCGCGUGAUUUUAAGCGCGCAAAGGUAGCAAAAUCAUUUGUUCUUUAAAUGAGGACCAGUAUCAAUGGCACCACGAGGACUUCACUGUCUCCUUUUCCCAAUCAGUGAAACUAAUCUCCCUGUGAAAAAGCAGGGAUAAAGCUAUAAGACGAGAAGACCCCAUGGAGCUUUAAACUUUUUCAGCAACUUCCAGUAAAUUUUUACCUAUUAAUACUUAAGUUGUGCUUAAUAGUUUUAGGUUGGGGCGACCGCGGAGUAAAAUUUAACCUCCACGACAAAAGGAGAUUUCCUAAUCUAAGAAAGACAUUUCUAAGAAUCACUAACCUGAUGUUUCAUGACCCGACUAUCGAUCAACGAACCAAGUUACCCUGGGGAUAACAGCGCAAUCCAUUUAGAAAGCUCCUAUCGACAAAUGGGUUUACGACCUCGAUGUUGGAUCAGGAUACCCAAGUGGUGCAGCCGCUACUAAAGGUUUGUUUGUUCAACAAUUAAAAUC
rnacentral:rRNA from 1 species